CGGGUGGUAAUGCCGGAUGCUCCGGUUGGAUGCAUGUCCUUCCGGGAAAGAUCCGUCGGUAUGGGAUGGGGUCGCGUCCUAUCAGCUUGAUGGCGGGGUAACGGCCCACCAUGGCUUCGACGGGUAGCCGGCCUGAGAGGGCGACCGGCCACAUUGGGACUGAGAUACGGCCCAGACUCCUACGGGAGGCAGCAGUGGGGAAUAUUGCACAAUGGGCGCAAGCCUGAUGCAGCGACGCCGCGUGCGGGAUGGAGGCCUUCGGGUUGUAAACCGCUUUUGAUCGGGAGCAAGCCCUUCGGGGUGAGUGUACCCUUCGAAUAAGCGCCGGCUAACUACGUGCCAGCAGCCGCGGUAAUACGUAGGGUGCAAGCGUUAUCCGGAAUUAUUGGGCGUAAAGGGCUCGUAGGCGGUUCGUCGCGUCCGGUGUGAAAGCCCAUCGCUUAACGGUGGGUCCGCGCCGGGUACGGGCGGGCUGGAGUGCGGUAGGGGAGACUGGAAUUCCCGGUGUAACGGUGGAAUGUGUAGAUAUCGGAAAAGAACA
rnacentral:rRNA from 1 species